rnacentral:rRNA from 1 species
UCCCAGUUCAGAUUGCAGGCUGCAACUCGCCUGCAUGAAGUCGGAAUCGCUAGUAAUCGCGGAUCAGAAUGCCGCGGUGAAUACGUUCCCGGGUCUUGUACACACCGCCCGUCACACCAUGGGAGUCGGGAAUGCCCGAAGCCGGUGGCCCAACCUUAGGGAGGGAGCCGUCGAAGGCAGGCCCGGUGACUGGGGUGAAGUCGUAACAAGGUACC